AUGUCCAAAACUGUAAAAGAAGACUCAAGCCUAACACAACUGAAAUUUUCUUGUUUUUAAAUAAAAACCUUUGAAGCCCCCAAAUCCCCUUCAUUUUGUAUUUCACAAUUUAUAUCUCUGUUUUAUACAGUAUUUU